UGUGUAAUGAGCACGGGCUCCACGCACGCACCGACGCCACAGCUCCCGGAUGCAGUGGCUCCCUUAUCUGGGCUUCUGCAGCGCCACAAGCCCCUUCGGGAUGCUGCGAGGGGCUCCUGGUGGGUGGUGGUACAAACGUUGCGGCCGCUGCCGCCGCCGCCGGUCCUGCUGCUGUUGUUGCUGCUGCAGUCACGUGGGAGCCCCUUUAAGUUUCCAUAGAGAGGCCUCUCCGGUGUCACAUGAUGGACAUGAUAUAAUGAAACAACAUUGUGGAGAGGAAAGCAUUAGGGGAGCCCACGGCUACAAAAACAAGUGAGUGAGAAGAGGUGGGAGAAAAAGAAACUACGCCACCUCCCCUGCAGCCGAGCGCACGCAGCAGCCUGGCGUGACAAGUGGGCGACGCCGGGGGCAGGGAGUGGGGGUCCUCGGCCCGCCCCGGGGACCCUGUUGUCCACCGUGCGCAGAGCAACUUUUAACCGGUAGCCCCGCACCUGUCUCUGAGUCCCCAUCGCUCCCCGCGACCAUCCUGGGAAAAUUCUAGAAGAAUACGCUCUCGGAAUCUACGUGCGCAUCAUUUUCCUCCUCGCUCCGGAGGAAGGAGCCAGAAAGGAAAGCAGAGCUGCGUAAUGUUCAGACCACCGAACCACCAUGGCUCCCAGGGAUGGUGUCCUCUGCAGGCGGAGUUUUGUCUCACACACUUCUGGCAAUCUUAACUAAAGACUGGAGUUAGCAGGAGUCUGCAAUGUCUCUGCCUUGCUAGUCCUCACUGAUCACUGGUUCACAGGAGCAUUGAGCAUAGCUCAGAGCCACUGGACGCAGGAAGGAAAUGCCACCAUACUGGGCAUGGCCUGAGCUUCUGAGACCUCAAAGUCCACCUUCUAGUGGCACAUCUCCACCAGAGCCACACCUCCACCAGAGACACACCUCCAACCAGGCUACUCCCUGUGGCCAAGCAUUCAAACCUGUUGCACAGAUGGCUGACUCAGUAGCUCAGGAAGACUGACUCUCAAGCAAAGAUGGGAAGUCAGCCUGGCAAGCUGGGAUGUGAGAGCUCACUUGCAGUUCUCCAUUUAGCCAGGAGGUUUCCUAGGCAACCACUUAAGCAGCAAUUAAAGAGGAAGAACUAAAAGGGGCAAAAUGUCAGCAAUCUGGGCCCUUGUAACAACACAGUACACCACCAAACAG